ACAAAUUGUUCGAUUCCCGACGUCUCUCUCUCUCUCCUACAGGUGUGUAAGGCUGAGAUAGCAGUCCGCCAGCUCACAGUGGACUAUGUCAACCAGUCGGAGUUGCAGACGAGCAGAGGGAGAUAUGAACACCCAGAUUAUGCUGAUGAGCUGGGCGGUCUUAACCACCGCUGGCUCAGUCUACAGGGCACCCUCAACAACCAGAUCCAGGAUGUUGAACAGGAGCUGAGGAUGUGCACAGAGAGAGAGGUCAGACUGCAGCACCACCACACUUGGCUCACCAGUCAGAGAGAGUGGAUGGGCUCAGCCCAGAGGCCCGUCAGUCACUCUGAGGUGGAGAAGAGCUUAAAAACCUGUGAGGUGGGUUGAAAAACAGAACCUGGUGUACAGUACCACAGGUGUCAAGUCAUUUGCCCUCUAGCUAUUUCUAUGAUGACAGGGCCAUGUGCAAUAUUUUGUUUUUACCAGGUGUUUAUGUUUUUUAGAACCCCAAUAUUAUCAGAUCCAACAGCAAUUUAUUAGCAAUGAUGUGCACUGAUUUUGAUGUGUAAUGUCUUGACUUCUGUUUUUAAGAUGUCUGAAGCAUGUACAGUAAGAUGUCUGCUAGUAUAUAAUGUUUAUAUGUUCACCUACCAAGGGACUGCAGAUGGAAAUGAGAUAUUAGCUAAAUCUUACUUCUGAGACAUAUAUUUUGUUGUACGUUGUCCCUGUUUCAAAUAAACGUAAUAAAUAAAUCAAAUACAUUGGGGAUUGGACCUACAGUUGAACAUGCAUGUGUUACUGCGUUUGCUACUCCUGUCUGUCAGGGUCUGGAGGAGAAACUCUGGCUAAAUUAUACAGCUCUUCAAGAGUUGAGAGAGAAACACCACACAGGAAAAGAGGAUGGCACCUGUGCCUUCAUCACUCAGACAGAUGAUGUCAUUAAGGCCUGUACAGCCUUCAGUCAAGAGGUAAGCUCAGGGGAAUGAGGGCAGUUGCUUAACAAAUACAUGUAUUCACUGCAUGGACACUAGUUGUAAAAACCUUCAAAUUGUAGGGUGCAGUGGCUCCUAUUUUGACUCAUUGUUUCCCCCUCCAGAACCCAGCUGUGCGACAGAGACUGAAACAGGUUUUGGAGCUGUGGGCUGGGUUUGAGAAAGGACUGAAUGAUGCAACACUGGACACAGUGAAGACCUGCCAGGCUAUGGAAUACAGCUGCUUCCCUCAGCUUUCUCUCCAGGCCCUGCAACGACUCCAUGAAAAGCUCCAGGUAGGUACUACUGUAUAGCCAUCAAGUUUGAUUUCCAGUGGCGAUUUUAGCAUGUAAAUCUUAGUGGGGCAUGCCAGCAAAGUCACUACACAAACACAGCACAACACUAAACAAUACAUUAAGUGCACUAUAAUGGUGAAAAACGGUGCCCACAAACUGUUAGGGCCUACAUAAAGCUGUCCCAACAGCAGAGUCCCAACAGAAGUCCCAACACCUUACCACUACUACACCUGGCUAUCAGCGGAGCCUUGUCUGGCUUCGAAACAGUUAAUUCAGACUCAUUUUCUGCCUCUAAAAAAAAAAGUACCUAAUAUGGCUGACUUGUUAUUUCUAAUGACAAUUGUGAUGUAUAAACUAUGGCAUAAGGGGAUGACGAGGGGAUAAGAGGCAAUCCAUAAUUUUGAUUAAGACAUUAAUGAGC
ensembl:lncRNA